rnacentral:rRNA from 1 species
CAGGACGAACGCUGGCGGCACGCUUAGCACAUGCAAGUCGAACGGAGCUAAGAAGGAGCUUGCUUCAUCUUAGCUUAGUGGCGGACGGGUGAGUAACACGUGAGCAACCUGCCUUUAAGAGUGGAAUAGCUUCUGGAAACGGAUGGUAAUACCGCAUAACAUUACUGGACCGCAUGAUCUGGUAAUCAAAGAUUUAUCGCUUAAAGAUGGGCUCGCGUCUGAUUAGAUAGUUGGUGGGGUAACGGCCUACCAAGUCGACGAUCAGUAGCCGGACUGAGAGGUUGAACGGCCACAUUGGGACUGAGACACGGCCCAGACUCCUACGGGAGGCAGCAGUGGGGAAUAUUGCACAAUGGGCGGAAGCCUGAUGCAGCGAUGCCGCGUGGAGGAAGAAGGUUUUCGGAUUGUAAACUCCUUUUAUCAGGGACGAUAAUGACGGUACCUGAAGAAAAAGCUCCGGCUAACUACGUGCCAGCAGCCGC